ACUCAAAGGAAUAGACGGGGAGGCGCACAAGCAGUGGAGCGUGUGGUUUAAUUCGAUACAAAGCGAAAAACCUCACCAGGGUUUGACAUUCUUAUGCAAUCUCGGAGAAACUCGAGACCUCUCGCAAGAGACAUCUGAACAGAUGCUGCAUGGCUGUCGUAAGCUCGUGGCGUGAGCUGUCCCCUUAAGUGGGCAAACGAGCGAAACCCGCAUCAUAUGUUAAAUUUCUCAUAUGAAACAGCCCCUAUUUUUAGGGGAGGAAGGAGCGGAUGACGUCAAGUCAGCACGGCUCUUACACCCUGGGCUACACACACCCUACAAUGGCGAAAAACAACGAGUUGCAAGCUGGUAACAGCAAGCUAAUCUCUGAAAUUUCGCCUCAGUUCAGAUUGAGGGCUGCAAUUCGCCCUCAUGAAGUCGGAAUUGCUAGUAAUCGCGAAUCAGCAGGUCGCGGUGAAUACGUUCUCGCCUCUUGUACACACCGCCCGU
rnacentral:rRNA from 1 species